AUUGAACGCUGGCGGCAUGCCUUACACAUGCAAGUCGAACGGAAACGGGCCUUCGGGUGCCGACGAGUGGCGAACGGGUGAGUAAUACAUCGGAACGUGCCCGGUCGUGGGGGAUAACGAGGCGAAAGCUUUGCUAAUACCGCAUACGAUCUACGGAUGAAAGCCGGGGACCGCAAGGCCUUGCGCGGACGGAGCGGCCGAUGGCAGAUUAGGUAGUUGGUGGGAUAAAAGCUUACCAAGCCGACGAUCUGUAGCUGGUCUGAGAGGAUGAUCAGCCACACUGGGACUGAGACACGGCCCAGACUCCUACGGGAGGCAGCAGUUGGGAAUUUUGGACAAUGGGCGCAAGCCUGAUCCAGCCGUGCCGCGUGCAGGAUGAAGGCCUUCGGGUUGUAAACUGCUUUUGUACGGAACGAAAAGCCUUCUUUUAAAACAGGAGGGUCAUGACGGUACCGUAAGAAUAAGCACCGGCUAACUACGUG
rnacentral:rRNA from 1 species